rnacentral:rRNA from 1 species
GGGCUCACACAAGCGGUGGAGUAUGUGGUUUAAUUCGAUGCAACGCGAAGAACCUUACCAGGGUUUGACAUCCUGCGAAUCUUUUGGAAACGAGAGAGUGCCUUCGGGAACGCAGUGACAGGUGGUGCAUGGCUGUCGUCAGCUCGUGUCGUGAGAUGUUGGGUUAAGUCCCGCAACGAGCGCAACCCACGUCUUUAGUUGCCAGCAUUUAGUUGGGCACUCUAGAGAGACCGCCGGUGAUAAACCGGAGGAAGGUGUGGAUGACGUCAAGUCAUCAUGCCCCUUACAUCCUGGGCUACACACGUACUACAAUGCUACGGACAAAGAGCAGCAAGUUCGCGAGGACAAGCAAAUCUCAUAAACCGUGGCUCAGUUCAGAUCGUAGGCUGCAACUCGCCUACGUGAAGGAGGAAUCGCUAGUAAUCGC